GUCAGCUACAGUUCGGGACAGUGCACACUCAGCAGUGACAGAGGCUGGGGCAACCCCCGUACAGCCCUGGCCUGAGCCCGGCCACCCCAAGCUUUCGGCCCCCCGACUAGGACCUUAGAUCAGAUGUGGCGACCCGCUGAAUUUAAGCAUAUUACUAAAUGGAGGAAAACAAACUAACCAGGAUUCCCUCAGUAACAGCAAAUGAAGACGGAAGAGCCCAGCGAUGAAUCCCUGUCUGGUGGCGGGAACAGGAAAUGUGGCAUACAGAAAACCGACUUCCCGGCAUCGCUCAAGGGGUCCAGGUCCUUCUAAUCGAGGCUCACCCUGCGGACGAUGUUAGGCAGUAGCGGCCCCUGGCACACCAGGAUCGGGUCUUCUCUGAGUCGCGUUGCUUGGAAUGCAGCCCAAAGCAGGUGGUAAACUCCAUCUGAGGCUAAAUAUGGGUGUGAGACUGAUAUCCAAAAAGUACUGUAAGUGAAAGUCAAAAGAACUUUGAAGAGAGAGUUCAAGAGGGCAUGUUGGUUGAUAUGGACAGCAGGACGGUGGCCAUGGAAGUCGGAAUCUGCUAUGGAGUGUGUAACAACUCACCUGCCAUAUCAAGUAGCCCUGAAAAUGGAUGGCGCUGGAGUGUCUGGCCCAUUACCGGCCUUUGCUGGUGCUUAUUGCCGCGGGGGCUAAGCUGCCACGAGUAGGAGGACCUAUUAAGGGGCGUGCGGAAGCUCGGGGCGAGGGCCCGGGUGGAGCCACACCAGGUGCAGAUCUUGGUGGUAGUAGCAAAUAUUCAAACAGGAACCUUGAAGGCCGAAGUCGAGAAGGUUCCAUGUGAACAGCAGUUGCACAAGGGUCAGUCAGUCCUAAGAGAUGGGCAAGCGCCAUUCAGAAGGGACAGACGAUGACCUCCAUUGCCCUCAGCCAAUCAAAAGGGAGUCAGGUUCAGAUCCCCGAACCCGGAGUGGCAGAGACAGGCGCCCCCGCUGCGUCCAGUGCAGUAACACAAACAAUGCCGGAGAAGCCGGCAGGAGCCCAGUGCAGAGUUCUCUUUUCUUUGUGAAGGGCAGGGCACCCUGGAGUGGGUUUUCCCCGAAGGAGGGGCCCGAGCCUUGGAAAGUGUUGUUGUUCAUCGCUGGUCCUUGAAAAUCCAGGGGAGAUGGUGUAAAUCCCACGCCGGGCCGUAACCAUAUCCGCAGCAGGUCUCCAAGGUGAACAGCCUCUGGCAUUUUGGAACAAUGUAGAUAAGGGAAGACAACAAGUCAGAUCUGUAACUUCGGGGUAAGGAUUGGCUCUAAAGGCUGGUUCGGUCAGUCUGGGGUGCAAAGCGGGUCUGGGUGCGUGCAGCAGCUGGACGAGGCUUCUCCCACCCGGGGUCGGCGCUGACUCGGGACGUGAGCCAGCCCCUUCCUGUGGAUCACCCCAGCUGCAGUGGUCGCCUCUCUCCGUUCCCCUCCCGGGGUUCGGGGCUGGCAUUCUGCCUCAGCCAACGCUAAGCAGCUGACUUAGAACUGAUGCAGACCAGGGGAACCUAACUGUUUAAUUAAAGCAAAGCAUUGCAAAGGCACACAGUGGGUGUUGACACACUGUGAUUUCUGCCCAGUGCUCUGAAUGCCAAAGUGAAGACAUUCAAUGAAGCGCGGGUACACAUCGGGAAUAACUAUGACUCUCUUAAGGUAGCCAAAUGCCUCAUCAUCUAAUUAGUGAUGCACAUGAAUGGAUGAACGAGAUUCCCACUGGCCCUACCUACUAUCUAGCAAAAUCACAGGCAAGGGAAUGGGCUUGACAUAAUCAGCGGGUAAUUUAUUUAUUUAUUUAUUUCGUUUUGGAUUUGUAGAGCGCACUGCAGCCCACAGGCAUUGAUGAAUCAAUGAAUACCCCUUUGAGCUUGACUCUAGUGUGGCACUGUGAAGAGACAUGAGAGGUGUAAGAUAAGUGAGAGACCCUCAGGCCACCAGUGAAAUACCACUACUCUUAUUGUUUUUUACUUGCCUGGUGAGGUGGGGGCAACACGCUCCUGGGACAAUGGUAAGUGGGGAAUUUGACGGGGGCGGUACACCUGUCAAACGAUAAUGCAGGUGUCCUAAGGCGAGCUCAAGGAGGACAGAAACCUCCCACGGAGCAGAAGGGCAAAAGCUUGCUUGAUGUCGAUUUUCAGUAUGGAUACAGACUGUGAAAGCGGGCCCUCACGAUCCUUCUGACUUUUUGGGUUUCAAGCAAGAGGUGUCAGAAAAGUUACCACAGGUGUAACUGGUUUGUGGUGGCCUAGCGUUCAUGGCAACAUUGCUUUUUGAUCCUUCGAUGUCGGCUCUUCCUAUCAGUGUGAAGCAGAAUUCACCAAGCGUUGGAUUGUUCACCCACUAAUAGGGAACGUGAGUUCGGUUGAAACCAUCAGGAAACAGGUUGGUUUUAGCCUACUGAUGAUAUGUUGCUGCAAUAAUAAUCCUACUCAGUACGAGAGGAACCGCAGGUUCAGACAUUUGGUGUAUGUGCUUGGCUGAGGAGCCAAUGGGGUGAAGUUACCAUCUUUUGGGAUUAUGACUGAACACCUCUAAGUCAUCCCCACUAAACCACAAUGAUACUGCAGUGGAGCCUCAGUUGGCUUGAUAAUGAGCGUGGAAGUGUCUCCCUGCAGGGCGGCUCUGUAGCGCAGGCUAUAGAUGCCUGCUCCGCACCCAGACCAAUGCAG
rnacentral:rRNA from 1 species